UGUAGCUAGGGAUGAAAUGGUUACCGGUUUCACGAUUUAACCACGGUAAAAUUCCCGACGAUUAGUAUUAUCGUUUCAAAUGUAUAUUCUGAUUUAAAACCAUGUUUGAUUACCACGGCGUGCAGAAGUCUGAUGCAACGUGGGUUUGGUUUUGUGUGAAAACAUGGCGGAAGGCAGUGACGGCGCUCUGGAGAUUUUUCAGCCUUCUAAGAGGACCAAAUCUGAACUGUGGUUGUAUUUUGGGUUUUCCCCUGAGUGCUGAGGGAAACUUAAUCGAAGAUGGUCACCCUGUCUGCAGAACAUGCAACAAAAUAAUUGCUGCGAAAGGGGGCAACACUUCAAAUCUCUCCAGUCAUCUUCGUGACCAUCACCCACUACUUUAUAGCGAAUGCAAGAGGGUCGUGCAGCAAACCCAGUGACGCUACUGGUCCCUCAUCUACGGUUGUGACAGACACUCCAGCAAGCAUUUAAAAAGCAGGCUGCUUAUGGACCCACGUCAAAACAUGCUCAAGACCUCACUGCAGCCCUUUCAUAUUACAUUGCAAAGAACAUGAUGCCAUUUCAUAUUGUUGAGAGGCCUGGAUUUCUGUGGCUGGUGAAGGUUGCUGUGCCCCACGACAAAGUGCCAUCACCAACAUUAUUUUCCGAGACUGACAUCCCAAACCUGUACAACCAGGUUAAAGCUGAUGUUGGAAAAAGUUUGGCUCAAGGCACAUGGUUUGCUGCAACUACUGACCUCUGGACCAGUGAAAGUGGGGGUGGUUCAACCCUACAUCAGCGUCACUAUCCAUUACCUCACCCCAGACUGGCAACUGGAAUCAAACUGCCUGGAAACACAAUUCUUCCCAGAAGAUCACUCGGCUCACAACAUCAGAGUUUUUUUGGAGAAUAUGUCAUGGACCACAUCACCAAUGAUGUUCUGGUGGAAACGGAUACGGAGCCGUCCCUGACUAAGGAGAUGAAAAGGGUAAUGAGAGAAGACCUUAACAACAUACACAGAGAAGGCAAAGAGAGUCAUGCACAUGGCUUGUUUCAUUGUCCCCUGCUUCAAAAAGAGCUUGUUAGAUGAGCCUGAGGCUGCAAACGUUGACACUGACAGCUGUGUCCAGGAGGCUUUGAAGCUGACAGCUUCACAAGUCAGUGAAGAACCACAAAGCACCAGCAGCGCCUCCACCACCCCCAUAGCGGCAUCGGAGAGGAUGUUCUUACACGCACAUUGGAUGUGUUUACAUAUGGUUGUAUUGUUCUUACAUGCACAUUGGAUGUGUUUACAUAUGGUUGUAUUGUUCUUACACGCACAUUGGAUGUGUUUACAUAUGGUUGUAUUGUUCUUACAUGCACAUUGGAUGUGUUUACAUAUGGUUGUAUUGUUCUUACAUGCACAUGGCUUUACUUGUGUUGCUUAAGGUUGUGUUCAUUAAAACCUGCACUAAGGAUACUAAGUGCAUGGCGCCAUCUUUAAUGUUAAGGAUAUUAUUUUUAAAAGUGCAUAGUGCUGCUAAUUGUAUUUGUUGUUUGUUGGUUUUCAGUAUAAAACUUGAUGAAAUUAA